CGGCGGCCGGUCCCGCGGGCAGGCGGCUGGGGCGGCCGCGGCGCUGAGCGCGCACCGGCGGUGCCUCCGCGCCGGGCCCUGCGCGCCGCCCUCGCCCUCCCGCAGCCGCCCCAUGAUGUGCUUGGAAAGCGACGGCUCCUCCGGCAGCAGCCCGGGCUGCGGCGGGCGGCUCCGUGCCGGCGACGAGGAGGAAGAGGAGGACGGCGAGCGGGGUUGCUGCGGCCGGGGCGUCGAGGGCGAGGUGCAGACCCUGUCCGGCAGGAUGAACCCGCCGGCGGCCGGCAAGCACCCCGAGCGCCCGGCCGCCCGCCACAAAGCGCCGAGCCUCGGCCGGGCCCGGGUGGCGGCCGCCGGCAUCCUCAGCGUGGGCAACGUGCUCAACUACCUGGACCGGUACACGGUGGCAGGUGUGUUACUAGACAUCCAGCAGCACUUUGGAGUCAAAGACAGUGGGGCUGGCUUAUUACAGACAGUUUUCAUCUGUAGUUUCAUGGUUGCGGCACCUAUCUUUGGUUACCUUGGUGAUCGUUUCAACAGAAAGAUCAUUCUCAGCUGUGGGAUCUUCUUUUGGUCAGCUGUCACUUUUUCAAGCUCCUUCAUCACUGAACAGUAUUUCUGGCUUCUUGUGCUCUCACGAGGUUUGGUUGGCAUCGGUGAAGCAAGUUACUCCACUAUUGCACCAACCAUCAUAGGAGACCUUUUCACCAAAAACACAAGAACCCUUAUGCUGUCUGUUUUCUACUUUGCAAUUCCUCUUGGCAGUGGCUUGGGAUACAUCACCGGGUCAAGUGUGAAGCAGGUUGCUGGAGACUGGCACUGGGCAUUGCGGGUAUCUCCACUCCUGGGAAUGAUAACGGGGACACUCAUCUUGAUAUUUGUACCUGCUGCUAAAAGAGGAAAUGUUGAACAACUUGGGGGACAGCUGAAGGCUCGGACCUCAUGGCUAAGAGACAUGAAAGCGCUGAUUAGAAACCGCAGCUACGUGUUCUCAUCGUUGGCCACCUCAGCUGUCUCCUUUGCCACAGGGGCGCUCGGCAUGUGGAUCCCUGUCUACCUUCACAGAGCACAGGUUGUGCAGAAGACAGCAGAGACCUGCAUCUCACAGCCCUGCAGCACCAAAGAUAGCUUGAUCUUUGGAGCAAUCACAUGCUUCACUGGUUUCCUGGGUGUAAUCACAGGGGCAGGGGCAACCAAAUGGUGCCGGUUAAAAACCCAGCGAGCUGAUCCCCUUGUCUGUGCUGUUGGCAUGCUAGGAUCAGCCAUCUUCAUCUGUCUGAUCUUCGUUGCUGCCAAGAGCAGCAUUGUGGGAGCCUAUAUUUGCAUUUUUAUCGGAGAAACUCUUCUGUUUUCAAACUGGGCUAUCACAGCAGACAUACUAAUGUAUGUGGUCAUUCCAACACGCCGUGCAACCGCAGUGGCCUUGCAGAGUUUCACUUCACACCUCCUGGGAGAUGCUGGCAGUCCUUAUCUGAUCGGAUUUAUCUCAGACCUGAUACGACAAAGCACAAAGGAGUCCCCAGUCUGGGAAUUUCUCAGCUUGGGGUAUGCACUCAUGCUCUGCCCGUUUGUCGUUGUCCUAGGAGGGAUGUUUUUCCUGGCCACAGCCCUCUUCUUCCUAAGUGACCGAGCCAAAGCUGAACAACAUAAAGAAACCGAUUCGGACCACCUCACGGUUGGCAACUACAGUAAUUCAGAAGACGCUUCCACAUGACAUACAAACUUCUGGGGGUGAAUCAACUUGUGAUGCCACCAGCCUCUGUGAAAGUCUGAGACGCUGCCAGUGAAGGAAACGACGCGUGGACUCCCGCCACCACCACCACCACCACACCAAUCUCAAGCUCGCAGCCCUUCCGUACUGGUAAACCAGUGGAUCCUCUCUCCAGCCCCGCAUCAAUGGCACCACUGCAGCCUGCGGGGCCGGGCGCCGGGAGAUGGGCAGGGCAGCCUGGAACACAAGAACUUCUCGAGCAGAAGGACGUUCACAGGUUCCUCCGAGCAUCGAGCGCAACUGUCGGCUGGAUGCAAACCGUGCUACCCGAGUGAGUGACUGUAGAUUGUGUAUAUGGUUUUAGUUGUAGCCAACAAAGUCCGCAUCGUUUAUAGGGCAACUUACGUCCUACUGAAUGCUGCUGUUCUGUCAGCACUCCCGCUCCCAGAGACUGCACUAGUUGGGGACCUCUUCUGUGCAUCACCUUUUCUUUAACACUGAAGGCUCAAUUCAGAUUAUUAUUUUUUAUUUAAAUAUGUCAUAAGAUGCUUUAUCUCUGCUGAAGACAUUAGACGACAGAUAUAGAUAUAUAGAGAUAUAUAAAUAUAUAUAUAUUUAGAUAAACAGGUUUUAUUUAAACAUUUAAAAUCUGGAGCUGCCUGUGCAACCACACCAGACACGAUACCAUCCACAACUCUCCUCAUCUCUGCGUCCUGGCACCAGGCCACGCAAGGGCACCGCGGGAAGACUGGCUGUGGGUGACUCAGCUGUCACCUCGGUCUGAGGAAUGGGACCGAGGAGAGAGUUUCGCUGCACUGGGUAUGCUGGUGGUUGCUACAGAAAGGCCCAGAAGAACUCUGGACAGAAAUACCUAGGGGCUCUAGAGUUUGCUCAAUAUGCUAAAUUCAGCCUUGCCUAGGAGGUUCACAGGUUUCUAAAAUACCAAAAUCCAUCUGGCUGAAUUGCUGUACUUAGGGCCCAGUAGUGCAAUACUGCUGUGCCACUAACAUCAUGCUUUGUUUACAUGCAUAUCCUAUUACUUGUAUUGUCAAUGCUAAUUCUCCCUCUGUCAGUAUUUUCAAAGCAGGUGGCAGAUACUCUACUGUAGCCGUUGCCUUGGAGCAAGGCUUAGGUUUAAUGCAUGCCCAACCCCAUGCACAGUCCCAAACUCCUCUUACUGGGGUGUCACUUUUGUCCUUAUGAAGCUGCAUCUGAGAUCUUCAGUACACAAGGCCAGUGUCUGAACUGCGUUAGGCUCCAACGCAGGCGCCUGGGUCUGUAAAGCAGUCAGCGUGCCGUUUCACUGGAGUCUUGUUUCCUGCACGUGGCUUCCACAAGCCAGGUCAGUGCUGUGCCAGCUCGAUGCUGCACCAGCGUGGGGAAGGCAGGCGAGCCCGGGCCCGGGAGAAAGAGCCAGGCCUCCAGAGAGAGAGCACCGGUCCAGCCAACUCCCCACUCCCUUUUUUCUGUUUUGAUGUCUCCCGCAGUUUAGAUACUCCCCUCCAGCUGAGCUCACAUCUCGAGUAGGUGAACGCACCUUACUCCCGUGCUCGUGUUUAACGAGCGGCUGCAGUUGGGCUGCAAGUAGGAGUGAAUCAGCAAAGGACAUGCCAAACCGGGACUGGAUGCGAGUUAAGACUGGAAGCUGGCUGUCCUGAUAGUGGCGUAAGUUUGUUCAGAGACACGGGAAGGUGCAGUUUGUAAAUCUGGGAUUUAUCUCCCGCUCUCUUCCAGGCUGGGCUAGGACCUGCAGCACAGCAUUGCAGUCCAGAUGGUAAUUCCAGGUACCAGCGACCUGGUCAAUACCCAGCGCACAGCCGGGCCCUGCCCAGGCAGAUGGGUUCUGAGGGUGACUCACUCCUGCAACGUGAGCCUUUCCUCCUCCUCAGACUCCCCGGGACUCUUCUGCCAAGGUUGCUCUGUCACCUAAAAUACCUUAACAAUGGCUUUCAGAUUUGGCCAAACAACGAGAGCCAUAAAUUUUCUUCGAGUGCCUGGGCAUCCUCUGGAGAACAGCAAGUGGGUGUUAGAAAUAAUAAAGCAAAGCAAAGCCGAAGCAA